GGGUCGGUGCCCGAGCGGACAAAGGGGGCGGGCUGUAAACCCGCUGGCUUGCGCCUUCGGUGGUUCGAAUCCACCCCGGCCCA
rnacentral:tRNA from 2 species